UCAGCCUCUAAAAACCUUGCUGGAAGGUCUA
rnacentral:piRNA from 1 species